CAACAGUAAAGUGCCCCUUUCAAUCCCUAGUACCCCAAACCAAACCAAACAAAAUUUACACAAUAAUUACUGAGAAGUGUGAAACCUUUCUUGAGCUGUUAGAAAGCUCAAAGCCAUAUUUGUUCAAUUAUAGAAACUCCUUCUUCCCAAGUUCUUACUAACCUUAUUUUAUCUUUUAAAAUCUUAGAACAAAAAGAAAACAUAUAUAUUCUUGCAGAAAAAUUGGAGAAUAAAGAGAAACCAGGGAUAACCCAAUGUUUUCUUUUUCCUCUUCUAUUUAUGCCAAAGGAAUGAAACUAGAAAAACCAAAAGCCUCUUGUCCCACAGCAGUCACAACUGACGGGGCUCAAUGAGCAUAAUGCUGUUUUGACCAAUAGGAGUUUACCCUACUAAGAGGUCUCUGCUUCCCGUCUUGCCAACAUAUCAGAGAAAUCCUGCUUUGGGAAGGGUGGUAUAUAUAUAUAUAUAUAUAUAUUUUUUUUUUUUUAAUGAAGGAUUGUGAUGGAUAUUUUAGGACACAAAGAGCAGGAGCCCAGUUGAAGGAAUACUCUUUGUUGACCUUUGUUUUCCACGGAAAGCACUGAUGAGCAACACUUUGACCUGACCUGCCUUCAUUUUUCAGGGCUGGGUUGUGCUGGAAGUCUGAAUAGUCUAGGAUCCCUAGCUGGAGUGGCCUACUUGGUCUUAGUGAGUAAACACAGAAGUCAUUUGCUGACGCUUUUCUGGCUGAGUUCUGUGAGCCCUCUUCAGCUCCUCUGGUUACCUCCCAGGGGAAGAAACUGGAGUGUUCCCCUCUUGGGACACGCUGUCCCAGUGGGCAGGCCUUCUCUAUUCUUAACAAGAAUACUUAAAGUGCAAGUAAAUAACAUUGUUGGACACAGAAGAAUUAUUACAGAAGUCUUGCAUCCUUUCAUGCUCCAUUUGUUGCAAAAAGUGAAACCAUCACUGCAAGAGACUAUAUUUAGGCCCACAGUGUGUCAGAAGGAUGACAUGUUCUAUACAACCUUUUCACCCURUCUGCUUCUAUAUACACAAGCACCUCUGUAUAUGAAYUCCUGGAGGUUCUGUGACUUUUUAAUAUUCCCCAGAGCUACCUUCGAAAACUGUGAGGUCACUUGGAUAGAAGCAGGAUUCAAAUGCAGAGUGUGAACACUCAAGAAGAGAUGCAGACUACAGCAGUUGCUAGCAUCUUUGAGCAUUAACUAUUCUCACUCAGAAUAUGGAGUAUUUAGAUAACAGCUCCUGCAGGAGCCAGGAGGUUUUAGCAACAGAGUUGCCAGUUUACAUUUUAACAACCAUGGGACAAGUCACUCUCUUCUUCCUGCAGUCUAUAACUCUGACCGCUCAGUGGACUUCCUGGGAACAAAUGCAGCUGGAGGAGAUCAAACCCCAGUGUURCUGGUAUGCGGGGCACAAGCUGCCCAGUGCCACUCUUUCUCUGAGGAGCCAAUGAGGUGUUGGUGGUGUUGAGCUCUGAACUAGAGGUCAGGAUAUUUUGGUUGCUAAUUCUAGCUCUGCCACUUCCCUGCCAGGUGACUUCCUURUAUCAGGUGACUGUAUGAGGCCUGCUGCUUCCCUGUGCACAGAAUGAGGGCUGUCCUUGGCRUUACUCCCAGCUGCAGUGUUCUAGAAGACUGAAUUAGCUUUGUCAUCCCAAAUUCUGGAAAUAAGCAGUGAAUGUUUAGAUGAUUAUAUACUUGGGAACUUUGUGUGGAGGUCCCAGACAUUUGGUAUUGGGUGGCAAAAUCUCAGAGCUAUGAAKUUUCACUCAAGUGCAAAGUUCCCAGAACUACUAACUUGUACAAUUUCUCUAAUGUGACAUUCUUUGACAGAUAAUUUUAUCAUGUUGGAGGAUAGUGACUUUUAUUAAACAAGUACUCUUUGAAAUCUUUCAG
rnacentral:lncRNA from 1 species